UACAGAGGUCUCAAGCGUUGUUCGGAUUCAUUGGGCGUAAAGGGUGCGUAGGCGGCGCGGUAAGUCGGGUGUGAAAUCUCGGGGCUUAACUCCGAAACUGCAUUCGAUACUGCCGUGCUUGAGGACUGGAGAGGAGACUGGAAUUCCCAGUGUAGCGGUGAAAUGCGUAGAUAUUGGGAGGAACACCAGUGGCGAAGGCGGCUUACUGGACCGGUACUGACGCUGAUGCGCGAAAGCGUGGGGAGCAAACGGG
rnacentral:rRNA from 1 species